GUACCAGGCUCCUGGCCCUUCCAUGUGGGCUUCUCCCCCAUCUCUCCUUCUUGGAUGCCAUGAGUUGAGCAGCUUUCCUCUGCUACACUUUGCAACAUGAUGUUUUUGCCCUGCAAGCAGCCAACCAUGGACUGAAACACCUGGAACCGAAUUCUGAACAAUUACAUAAACUUGUGAAAAGAUUCAAAUGCCACCGCCACCCACAAUACCAGCACUGAAUUCUGUGCUUCAUAUGAUUACAAGAAAGGCUUUGAUAGAUUUUGAAAAAGUUGUCUUUGCUCUCCUGCAGAAUAAAAAUGUUCUAAGAAAAAGAUUAAGCCUCAAAAUCAAGGUAGAGACUUUGUCACCACUCAAGACAGUAGGGGCCUGGGCAAGACCACAGGAAAGGCAAGAGCAGUUCCUGGCACUUGAUGAACCUGUGGCCAUGGAGCGCACACUUGGCACAGGUCACGGGGAGCCGGGUUGUAUCAGAAAACACUAUAUCAAAUUAAAUUAGAAACAUUGUGUUUCAAAUACCAAGCCUUUCCUGAUUCUUUAUGAAAAAUUUCUUUUAGAGUUAAGGGAUCACAAGAAGGUAUUUGCACAUUGCUGGUUGAAGAAAAAGUUAAGCGAACAAGGAGUAUACGAACUCAGUUUCAAGCCCCG
rnacentral:lncRNA from 1 species